AAUCAGUCUACUGGGGAGUUUGGCACUACACAUGUUUGGACAGUCACUGAGCAAGAAACGGAGAUGAAUCACCAACAAAAGAAAGGGGUGGAAUUUGCAGUCGUUUUAGUGUGUCUUCUUCAAGGUGUGAGAUCAUUGCAAUUACAUUGCCCGAAUACUGUUGAACUUGGCUCUUCGGCAUGUUUACUUUGCUAUGAGACACAGACUACCAUUUCCUCAGUGUCGUGGACGAGGCCUGACAAUGUUUUGGCAAGCAAUUGCAUAUCUCGUGGUUGUGAAAACAAGGAUGGAUACACAGUUGAGCGUAAUUCUAGCCACAGUGAGAUAAAAAUUCUGAAAAUGGGUGUUGAAGAUAUUGGCAGCUGGACUUGCAGUACUUCCUCGGGUGGAUCAGGGUGUUCUGUGGAAGCUUACAGUGAGUAGCUGUUUAAUUUCACCGGA